rnacentral:rRNA from 1 species
ACUUUCAACAACGGAUCUCUUGGUUCUGGCAUAGAUGAAGAACGCAGCGAAAUGCGAUAAGUAAUGCGAAUUGCAGAAUUCCAGUGAGUCAUUGAAUCUUUGAACGCACAUUGCGCCCUUUGGUAUUCCGAAGGGCAUGCCUGUUCGAGCGUCAUUAUC